UACGGAAGGCAGCAGUGGGGAAUAUUGCACAAUGGGCGCAAGCCUGAUGCAGCCAUGCCGCGUGUAUGAAGAAGGCCUUCGGGCUGUAAAGUACUUUCAGUCGUGAGGAAGGUGUUAAGGUUAAUAACCUUAGCAAUUGACGUUAGCGACAGAAGAAGCACCGGCUAACUCCGUGCCAGCAGCCGCGGUAAUACGGAGGGUGCGAGCGUUAAUCGGAAUUACUGGGCGUAAGGGCACGCAGGCGGUUAAUUAAGUUGGAUGUGAAAUCCCCGGGCUUAACCUGGGAAUGGCAUUCAAGACUGGUUAGCUAGAGUCUUGUAGAGGGGGUAGAAUUCCAUGUGUAGCGGUGAAAUGCGUAGAGAUGUGGAGGAAUACCGGUGGCGAAGGCGGCCCCUGGGACAAAGACUGACGCUCAUGUGCGAAAGCGUGGGGAGCAAACAGGAUUAGAUACC
rnacentral:rRNA from 1 species